rnacentral:rRNA from 1 species
GACGAACGCUGGCGGCGUGCCUAAUACAUGCAAGUAGAACGCAGUUGCGAACGGGUGAGUGACGCGUAGGUAACUGCCUCAUAGCGGGGGAUAACUAUUGGAAACGUUAGCUAAUACCGCAUACUGUGAGAUGGACCUGCGUUGUAUUAGCUAGUUGGUGAGGUAAAGGCUCACCAAGGCGACGAUACAUAGCCGACCUGGGAGGGUGAACGGGCACACUGGGACUGGGACACGGGCCAGGAUCCUAACGGGGGCAGCAGUAGGGGAACUUUGGGAAUGGACGGAAGUCUGACCGAGGAACGCCGGGUGAGUGAAGAAGGUUUUCGGAUCGGAAAGCUCUGUUGGUAGAGAAGCGGUAACUAAACAGAAAGGGACGGCUAACUACGUGCCAGCAGCCGCGGUAAUAC